ensembl:lncRNA
UACACACACACGUACACACACACGCGAACAACUCCCCCCAGUGACAGCUUAUGUUAGAGCGUAACCCGAGAGAGAGAGAGCUGAGUUUAUGUACCGGAUACAGACCAACAUAGCUCUGUUUAUUUGUUCUGGAUUUCUCCAGUACUCCAGAGUGUUGGAACUCUCCUCAGGGGCGGUUACAUUGGAAUGUUCCCAUGUAAAACCUGGGGCGGAAUAUCAACAGUAAAUGGAUUGGCCAAUGGAAGUGUUCAUGUGCUAUUCUUAAGACCUACCGACAGCGAAUCCUAGUCCGUUAAUAACGGAGUACUGAAUGUUCUUCAUUCAAACCAAUGGCACGGUCAGUCAGUCAGUCAGACAUGUUAGGCAAUGGGACGGUCAGUCAGUCAGUCAGUCAGACAUACAUGUUAGGCAAUGGGACGGUCAGUCAGUCAGUCAGACAUGUUAGGCAAUGGGACGGUCAGUCAGUCAGUCAGACAUGUUAGGCAAUGGGACGGUCAGUCAGUCAGACACGUUAGGCAAUGGGACGGUCAGUCAGUCAGAUACGUUAGGCAAUGGGACAGUCAGUCAGUCAGACACAUUAGGCAAUGGGACGGUCAGUCAGUUAUACAUGUUAGGCAAUGGGACGGUCAGUCUGUCAGUCAGACAUGUUUGGCAAUGGGACGGUCAGUCAGUCAGUCAGUUAGACACGUUAGGCAAUGGGACAGUCAGUCAGUCAGACACAUUAGGCAAUGGGACGGUCAGUCAGUUAUACAUGUUAGGCAAUGGGACGGUCAGUCUGUCAGUCAGACAUGUUUGGCAAUGGGACGGUCAGUCAGUCAGUCAGUUAGACACGUUAGGCAAUGGGAUGUUCAGUCAGUCAGUCAGACACGUUAGGCAAUAGGACGGUCAGUCAGUCAGUCAGACAUGUUAGGCAAUGGGACGGUCAGUCAGUUAGACACGUUAGGCAAUGGGAUGGUCAGUCAGUCAGUCAGUCAGACACGUUAGGCAAUGGGAUGGUCAGUCAGUCAGUCAGACACGUUAGGCAAUGGGACGGUCAGUCAGUCAGUCAGUCAGACAUGUUAGGCAAUGGGACAGUCAGUCAGUCAGACACGUUAGGCAAUGGGACAGUCAGUCAGUCAGACACGUUAGGCAAUGGGACAGUCAGUCAGUUAGUCAGUCAGACACAUUAGGCAAUGGGACAGUCAGUCAGUCAGACAUGUUAGGCAAUGGGACAGUGAGUCAGUCAGACACGUUAGGCAAUGGGACAGUCAGUCAGUCAGACACGUUAGGCAAUGGGACAGUCAGUCAGUCAGACACGUUAGGCAAUGGGACGGUCAGUCAGUCAGUCAGUCAGACAUGUUAGGCAAUGGGACAGUCAGUCAGUCAGACACGUUAGGCAAUGGGACAGUCAGUCCGUCAGACACGUUAGGCAAUGGGACAGUCAGUCAGUUAGUCAGUCAGACACGUUAGGCAAUGGGACAGUCAGUCAGUCAGUCAGAUACGUUAGGCAAUGGGACGGUCAGUCAGUCAGACACAUUAGGCAAUGGGACGGUCAGUCAGUCAGUCAGACACAUUAGGCAAUGGGACAGUCACUCAGUCAGUCAGACACGUUAGGCAAUGGGAUGGUCAGUCAGUUAGUCAGUCAGACACGUUAGGCAAUGGGACAGUCAGUCCGUCAGACACGUUAGGCAAUGGGACAGUCAGUCAGUUAGUCAGUCAGACACGUUAGGCAAUGGACAGUCAGUCAGUCAGACAGACACGUUAGGCAAUGGGACGGUCAGUCAGUUAGACACGUUAGGCAAUGGGUCAGUCAGUCAGUCGACAUGUUAUUAUUAGGGUCUACAGUUUACCUCCGCCCCCUUGGUCUAUCCCUCUGACCUGAGGUACGUAGAGGAGUCUACAGUCCAUUACUAAUCAAACAUCGUCUCUCUGUCUGUCUCUCCUUAG